ACAGAAAGAGAGUAUCAUUCUACUACACCCGCUGAUGACUUCAAAGCUGCGUGCUCUGAGACUGCCAACCCUGCACUCCAGAACAGUCCAUUGAGUUCAGGAGACAAGCACGUCAGCCAUGACACAGGGUGGAUGAGAGGGACCCCCAGUGUCCACGCGUGGAGGCAGCGGGGGCAGCCGUGACUUCCUUCUACAGUGUUGAUUCAGCUCCCUUUGCAGGCGAAUUCAUACAAACAAGCUGACAACCAGGGCUGGUCUCAGGCCACCCGUCUGGGUUCAUUGCAGAAAUGGAGAUCUGCCCUGGGCAGCCAGGUGAGUGUAGGAAGGAGGCAGGGGUGCGAGAAGCUGGGGGCAGCCUCCAUCCCCCUGUGGCCUGGGUGGGCCUGUGCUCCCCCGAUGCAGCUUCCCACGCUGGGAGCACAGUUCCUCCCUCCUCUGCCUUCCUCUGCGUGGGGUGGCUCCUCCUUGAGAGAGGGAGAUGAGGAUGUGGCAUUCUUGCUUCCCUGACUCACCCAAAGGAAGAUUUCACAGCCCCUGGCAAGGGCUGCCAGACAGGCUCACCUGUCAUCCCCUGCCCAGGGACAGACUGACUGGUAGCCUUGGCUUGGGGGGGGCAGUUAUGCUGGGGGGGGGAGUUAUGCUGGGAAGGGUCUUCCAGGCCCCCUGGGUGUGGGAAGAUGCUCAUUGUUCAAAGGAGAUGGAGCAAGGAAAACAGUUAAGCAAUGAUGGACUCCGGGGGAAAACCAGAGGA